rnacentral:snRNA from 1 species
GGGUGUGAGGGAGAUCUGGCUGAGACAUCGGUCACCCCACUGGUUGCAGCAGGGGGGUUGGCUGGUCUGCUGGCCAGGCUGAUGUCCCCGUCCUCCCUCAGUGCUCCACAUGCAUCUCUCCCGAAGCUGCUCACCUGGUGGAAGAAGAGGACCAUGCUGACAGAGGAGGACCAUUUCCUCGGGCGAGGGUGCAUGAAGAGCUUCUCUGUCCCGCUAAAACCUCCAAACAAGCUCUCAGCUGUAAGGGAUGAAGACAGCAAAUGUCAGAUAGAAAGAGUAGCAGUGGAAGUAAGCCCAGAGUUUCGCUUU